rfam:Pongo abelii chromosome 3.
AUACUUACCUGGGGAGGGUGAAAUACCAUCAUCACAAAGGUGGUUUUCCCAGGGAUGAGGCUUAUCCAUUGCACUCUGGAUGUGCUGAUCCCUGCAAUUUCCCCAAAUGUGGACGAACUUCAACUGCAUAAAUCUUUGGCAGUGGGAAACUGUGUUCACACUCUCUUCUG